rnacentral:rRNA from 1 species
AUGGUCUUUUGUUUAUAUAAAAGAUCUGGCCUGCCCAAUGAUUAAUUUAAUGGCUGCAGUAUUUUGACUGUACAAAGGUAGCAUAAUCAUUUGUCUUUUAAUUGGAGUCUGGAAUGAAUGGUUGGAUGAAAAAUUUACUUUCUUUAUUUUAAACAAAAAAAUUAUUUUUUAAAUUAAAAAAUUUAGAUUUUCUUAAAAGACGAGAAGACCCUAUAGAACUUUAUUUGUUUUAUAAUAUUUAUUUUUUAGGAAAUAAUUUAUAUUUAUUGUUGGAUGAAUUUUGUUGGGGUGACAAAAAAAAUUUUUUAACUUUUUUUAUUUAUUUCAUUUGUAUAUGAAUAUUUGAUCCUUUAUUAAAGAUUACAAGAUUAAGUUACCUUAGGGAUAACAGCGUUAUUAUUUUAGAGAGUUCAUAUUGAUAAAAUAGUUUGCGACCUCGAUGUUGGAUUAAAAUAAGUUUCAGGAGUAGAAGAUUGAAUACUAGGUCUGUUCGACCUUUAAAUUUUUACAUGAU